rnacentral:rRNA from 1 species
AGGUGGGUGCGGGGAGGCGCGGUGGUACGGAGGGGGGUGGUGUGGUCCGGGAGCAGUGGGGGUAGAGUGCGCGUAGGUGGCCCGGUCAGUCUUUGGUGAAAGCGGGGGGCUCAACCCGGCGUCGGCCAGGGGUACUGCCGCGGCUCGAGCACGGUAGAGGCAGGCGGAAUUCCGGGUGUAGCGGUGGAAUGCGUAGAGAUCCGGAAGAACACCGGUGGCGAAGGCGGCCUGCUGGGCAGUUUAGCUGACACUGAGGCGCGACAGCGUGGGGAGCAAACAGGAUUAGAUACCCGAGUAGUC